AAAUUGAAGAGUUUGAUCAUGGCUCAGAUUGAACGCUGGCGGCAGGCCUAACACAUGCAAGUCGAGCGGUAGCACAGAGAGCUUGCUCUCGGGUGACGAGCGGCGGACGGGUGAGUAAUGUCUGGGAAACUGCCUGAUGGAGGGGGAUAACUACUGGAAACGGUAGCUAAUACCGCAUAACGUCGCAAGACCAAAGUGGGGGACCUUCGGGCCUCAUGCCAUCAGAUGUGCCCAGAUGGGAUUAGCUAGUAGGUGGGGUAACGGCUCACCUAGGCGACGAUCCCUAGCUGGUCUGAGAGGAUGACCAGCCACACUGGAACUGAGACACGGUCCAGACUCCUACGGGAGGCAGCAGUGGGGAAUAUUGCACAAUGGGCGCAAGCCUGAUGCAGCCAUGCCGCGUGUGUGAAGAAGGCCUUCGGGUUGUAAAGCACUUUCAGCGGGGAGGAAGGCGAUAAGGUUAAUAACCUUG
rnacentral:rRNA from 1 species